AGCUCAUUUGGUAGGGUGUCUGCCUCUCAUGCACAAGGCCCUGGGUUCAAUCCCCAG
rnacentral:tRNA from 1 species